UACGAAGGGGGCUAGCGUUGCUCGGAAUCACUGGGCGUAAAGCGCACGUAGGCGGAUUGCUAAGUCAGGGGUGAAAUCCUGGAGCUCAACUCUGGAACUGCCUUCGAUACUGGCGAUCUUCGAGUCCGGGAGAGGUGAGUGGAACUCCGAGUGUAGAGGUGAAAUUCGUAGAUAUUCGGAAGAACACCAGUGGCGAAGGCGGCUCACUGGCCCGGUACUGACGCUGAGGUGCGAAAGCCAGGGGAGCAAACGGG
rnacentral:rRNA from 1 species